GUGGUCGUAGCUCAGCUUGGUAGAGCGCCCGCUUGAAACGCGGGGAGCGCAGGUUCGACUCCUGCCGACCACA
rnacentral:tRNA from 1 species